UGCAAGGUUGAAGCAUAAAUAAAGGGUUUAAUUAAAAUGAAUUGACUUACUUGAAUAUUAAUGGAAGCUCAAUUGAAACAAACUGACUGACGGCGACGACGGCGGCGGCGGAGGGUGGGAGAAGGAAUAGAGUUAGGGGUUUCGAAGAGAUCGAAGAAGACGAUUUAGGGAUUUAGGGUUUCAAAGAGAAGAAUUUUAUGUGUUUGCUGUGAUUUGGGAUUUAGGGAUUUGAGAUUUAGGGAUUUCAAAGAGUUUUAUGCCAUGAUUUGGGAUUUCGAAGUCACACGAUUUGGGAUUUGUGGGACGAAGACGAAGAAGACGAAGUCACUGCGUUUGGG
rnacentral:lncRNA from 1 species